rnacentral:rRNA from 1 species
UACGAAGGGUGCAAGCGUUAAUCGGAAUUACUGGGCGUAAAGCGUGCGCAGGCGGUGAUGUAAGACAGGUGUGAAAUCCCCGGGCUCAACCUGGGAAUGGCGAUGGUGACUGCAAGGCUAGAGUUUGGCAGAGGGGGGUAGAAUUCCACGUGUAGCAGUGAAAUGCGUAGAUAUGUGGAGGAACACCGAUGGCGAAGGCAGCCCCCUGGGUCAAAACUGACGCUCAUGCACGAAGGCGUGGGGAGCAAACAGG